GUUAGAGGAGGCGGGUAGCCUAGUGGUUAGAGGAGGCAGGUAGCCUAGUGGUUAGAGGAGGCAGUUAGUCCAGUGGUUAGAGGAGGCAGGUAGUCUAGUGGUUAGAGGAGGCAGGUAGUCUAGUGGUUAGAGGAGGCAGGUAGCCUAGUGGUUAGAGGAGGCAGGUAGACUAGUGGUUAGAGGAGGCAGGUAGCCUAGUGGUUAGAGGAGGCAGGUAGUCUAGUGGUUAGAGGAGGCAGGUAGUCUAGUGGUUAGAGGAGGCAGGUAGUCUAGUGGUUAGAGGAGGCAGGUAGCCUAGUGGUUAGAGGAGGCAGGUAGCCUAGUGGUUAGAGGAGGCAGGUAGACUAGUGGUUAGAGGAGGCAGGUAGCCUAGUGGUUAGAGGAGGCAGGUAGUCUAGUGGUUAGAGGAGGCAGGUAGCCUAGUGGUUAGAGGAGGCAGG
ensembl:lncRNA